GUUGGAUCGAUGAUGUUCAGUAGAAACUGCGUUAUCUACCUGCAAUUUCUUGUUGGAAUUGAAGAUUUCUGUAAAAUUAUUCUGAGGUCCUAU